rnacentral:rRNA from 1 species
UACGUAGGUGGCAAGCGUUGUCCGGAAUUAUUGGGCGUAAAGCGCGCGCAGGCGGUCCCUUAAGUCUGAUGUGAAAGCCCACGGCUCAACCGUGGAGGGUCAUUGGAAACUGGAGGACUUGAGUACAGAAGAGGAAAGCGGAAUUCCACGUGUAGCGGUGAAAUGCGUAGAGAUGUGGGGGAACACCAGUGGCGAAGGCGGCUUUCUGGUCUGUAACUGACGCUGAGGCGCGAAAGCGUGGGGAGCAAACAGG